AUGUUACUUGAUGUUGUAUCAGUAUACAACAAGGUUACUGAUCUUACGGAUAAAAAGCAGGCUGUUAAGAUCAGUAUUGAUAAAGUACAGGCUUUCAGAGAGUACUGCCCCUCAAGCAACGAUCCCAGUACUAUCCUGGAGUGUGUAUGGGUGAAAGAUAAAUUUGUUUUGCAUGAAAAGACCAAAGCUAGCAGUCAGAAAACCCAAGAUGAGGAUCUGAAGUCAUGCACUCCAGAUUCAUCAAUCCAGUAUGAGACCCCUGGACUUGUUAGUGAAGAGAUGGAAAACCUUGAUGGAGCAAACACGCCAGCCAAACAUAUCAGAUAUGAACAUUUGGACAUAGAUUCUAAUGCUUCUCUGACUGACCAACCAGAUAAAGCCACCCAUUGCGGUGAUGCUGGAGAUUCUUGCAGUGGGAGGCAACUACCAAAUGAUCAAAACGCUCCAGGAUCUCUUCUUGGCACACCCGCUGCUGUGCCGACUCCACGCAGAGAUGUCCAGCCUGAUACGAGGAAGAGAGUGGCAUUCAUCGCCGUGGGGAAAACAAAAGUCACCGUGACACCGCCUGAAACAUCAUCAUCAUCCGUAGUUACCAAGAAGCAAAGGGUGGACAUGAUUUGA
rnacentral:rRNA from 1 species